AGAAGGCCUUUUGGUUGUAAAGCACUUUAAGCGAGGAGGAGGCUACUAGUACUAAUACUACUGGAUAGUGGACGUUACUCGCAGAAUAAGCACCGGCUAACUCUGUGCCAGCAGCCGCGGUAAUACAGAGGGUGCGAGCGUUAAUCGGAUUUACUGGGCGUAAAGCGUGCGUAGGCGGCUUUUUAAGUCGGAUGUGAAAUCCCCGAGCUUAACUUGGGAAUUGCAUUCGAUACUGGGAAGCUAGAGUAUGGGAGAGGAUGGUAGAAUUCCAGGUGUAGCGGUGAAAUGCGUAGAGAUCUGGAGGAAUACCGAUGGCGAAGGCAGCCAUCUGGCCUAAUACUGACGCUGAGGUACGAAAGCAUGGGGAGCAAACAGGAUUAGAUACCCUGGUAGUCCAUGCCGUAAACGAUGUCUACUAGCCGUUGGGGCCUUUGAGGCUUUAGUGGCGCAGCUAACGCGAUAAGUAGACCGCCUGGGGAGUACGGUCGCAAGACUAAAACUCAAAUGAAUUGACGGGGGCCCGCACAAGCGGUGGAGCAUGUGGUUUAAUUCGAUGCAACGCGAAGAACCUUACCUGGUCUUGACAUAGUAAGAACUUUCCAGAGAUGGAUUGGUGCCUUCGGGAACUUACAUACAGGUGCUGCAUGGCUGUCGUCAGCUCGUGUCGUGAGAUGUUGGGUUAAGUCCCGCAACGAGCGCAACCCUUUUCCUUAUUUGCCAGCGGGUUAAGCCGGGAACUUUAAGGAUACUGCCAGUGACAAACUGGAGGAAGGCGGGGACGACGUCAAGUCAUCAUGGCCCUUACGACCAGGGCUACACACGCGCUACAAUGGUCGGUACAAAGGGUUGCUACCUAGCGAUAGGAUGCUAAUCUCAAAAAGCCGAUCGUAGUCCGGAUUGGAGUCUGCAACUCGACUCCAUGAAGUCGGAAUCGCUA
rnacentral:rRNA from 1 species